AUAUCGACAACAAUAUCAAGCCUCUGGGAGAGGCUGAGGGUGUUGUUUGCAGUUGGCUCUUGAGAUUUUGGAUGAAGCCAAUCAUCCAAGUUACCAUUGGGCAUGAACUCAAAAACCAAUGCCUUGAACUCUUGACCUUGGGAGUUGACGCUCGAACAAGAAGUAAUGAUCUUGGUGAGACAACGGUGUCGUAUCCUUCUCAUGACAUCACAUUCAGCCUCAAAACUCUUGGAAUACUUAGAUUGA
rnacentral:rRNA from 1 species